rnacentral:lncRNA from 1 species
CAUUAUUUGGGGUUGUUUCUGAAGCUCUCCUAGUGUUUACUCAAUUAUUAACGGACACAUGUGUAAAGUUGGAAAGAAUGUGGACAUGUCAAGUCAGGCUCAGGGAGAACCACAGCUGACAGUUACAUGGGAUAAGGUUUUGGUAUCAAAGCCCUGGAGUGUUCAGCCCUGCACGGGUCCCCCAGCCGUGACUGGUCAUGGAAGUCAGCAGGCCCAGGCUGCUGUGUGCGUGAAGGCAGUGCGCCUGUGGGAUGAUGUGAGCUACCCUGAGGUUCUCAAGGCCCAUGUUCGAGUGUGGCGGACAGCUGUGGAGGUACAGCUGCUGCAUUUUGACCAUGAGAUCCUUUCUCCUUUUACAUUGCCGGGUUCUCAGGUCCUAAGGUGAGAGAGGAUUUUAUUAGUAUGAGAAUGUCUUCCCUUACUUUCUUCAUUUACUGUUAUUUAGCGCUUUCCUCAGAGGUUGACCUUAUUUCUUUAUCUAAUUAUAUGCACAUAUGUUAUGCACCUUGACACAAUAAUUAUAAAUGUAUACAUCUAUACUGUGGCAGGUGGAAGAUACAUAUGGUUUCUUCUUUCUUUUUUAGGUUACGCCACGUGGCAUGUGGGUUUUUAUCUCCCUGGCCAGGGAUGGGACCCUCGCCCACCCUAUUGGAUGUGCAGUCUUAACCACUGUACCACCAAGCCUUAACAUUUACUUCUCAGUUUUAUUUUUCUUCGGCCUUUUCUUGAAGUGGUCUUUUCUAUUUUAUUAUUUAGUGCUUUUUAAAAAAAUCAAGUAAUGCUCUUUUUUACUUCGGAUACUUGUGUAAAAUGUUUUGAGUUUUGUUUUAUCCUAAAAUAUAUUUUUCUCUCUGAAAAGUGAAGGCUGUCUUACUUUGUAUAGGAUUCCUGAUUGUGGUCUUUCUUUUUUCAUUGAUUUUUACCUUCUUAUAGUUCAGUUGAAAGUUUAGAUACCAUUUUUUCCUGCUUAUAUAGGUUUUUCAAAUUCUUUAUGGCAAGUAUUCUCCCAGGCUCGGGGAGGAAGGCAGCUCAUCUACCUAGGUUCUUUACCUUCUGAGAAGCAGACAUCUGACCUUGGAUCCUGGAAGAGCUGAGCUGCCCGGAGCCCUUGGCCAGGCUGGGAGGGUGCUCUGAGGUUCUGUCCCCAGCGUCCAGCACAGCCCAUUCCUUCUACACGGGCACAUCUGGCCUCCAGGUCCUUUGGGGCUGGGAGCUGAGGCAGGACCCUCCUCCAGAUACUGGAACCUUGAGGUCAUGUGCACUCCUGCAGUUCCCAGGGUCCUGUGAUGAGCCAUCCAUUUGUCAGCCAAGGACCUUCCUUCUUGCUUUUGGAUGAACUCUGUUCUGAAGAAGGUCCUUGGGGAAAACAUGAGGACUGCAUCUUUCCUUCGUGACAGCCUGAAGCAGCGGGUUGGCUGUUGAAGGUCACAGAGGUUCUUGUUUAAUCAUUUCCUGCACACUGGGGUCUUGGCUAAAAAUAUGCCAAAGCAAGUGAUGAGAAAGCCAGUUUUGCUCUGAAGAGAAGGUAGGACCUAGAAUUGAGUUGUAAAACACAUUAUUUUUUAAGUUUUAAGAUUAAAGUUGCUCUUAUACAGAACCUCAGGAAUUACCUCCGGGGAAAAAGCAAGCACCCUGACCGUGGGCUGACCCGUCCUCCCUUCUGUCCGGUAUCUGUGAAGAUGCUAAUCCAUGGGCUCAGAGCCUGUUUUUCCUCAGAGUCUAUUUCCUUUAAAAACAGGUAAUUUGGAUUUAUUUUUAAUAUUGCCUCGAGGCCACAGUUAUCACAAUGGGCUUCUAUUUGAUCCUGUUGCUUCCUUGUGGAGAAACACGGCACGUGACCCCGUUCUCUGCAGACGGCUGUCUUCUCCCCAGUAAGUCUCCAUUCUCACUAAGUAGACAUUCAUUUUUUGUGUUCACAGUUUGGACUUGCUUCACAGUUCUGAUUCUGUGCAUUGGUUAGUCUCUCAACACGUUGUAAUUUAUCCAAAUCUUUAUUGAAGUGUGCCAUCCAGAAGUGAGCUCAGUUAGCAAGGCAUGUUGUAGACAGUGGGCUGAUUGUCCGACCGGCUGGAUUCCCUUCCUAACCAACGGUAGGUCCCCAGGCCCUCAGUUUUAAAAGCAAAAGUCACCCUGUCAACUUCCCCAGAUUCAGGGAACCCAUCUUUCUUAGGCAUCCUGUAUGUUCUAUUCUGGCAUUGGCACCUUUUUGCUUUUGCCUUGUGGGUUUACCUUUCUGCUGUAUUUGGACACAUCACUUUAAAGCUGUUCACUGUCCCCUCUCUGCACAAGCUGCAGCCAGAUGGGUGUCCAUGCCUGUGUGCUCAGUUGUGUCUGAUUAUUUUGUAAUCCCAUGGACUGUAGCCCGCCAGGCUCCUCUGUCCUUGGGAUUUCCCAGACAAGAAUACUGGAGUGGAUUGCCAUUUCCUCCUUCAGGGGAUCUUCCUGACCCAGGGAUUGAACCUGCGUCUCCUGAAUUGGCAGGUGGAAUCUUUACCACGGAGCCACCUGGGAAGCCCCCAGGUGUGUGUGACCUAAUGUAAUUAUAUGUAUCUACAGAUAAGCUGGGUGCAUCGACUAGGAUGGCUCCUUCAAGGACCAGUUCUAGAAGUUUCCUGUUGAGUUUCUUUGUUGUGCACCCAGCUGUUCAAUCAACACGAGUCUAUAUUACAUCAAAACAACCAACCAAGUGACUCAAGCCUAUUUAAACAUUAAACUAGCUUGCAGGGAUAAUUAUAGAUGAGUUGAUUGCUUGACUUUGGAGUUAAUCUUAUUUUGGCCAGCAGAAAAGUAGUAAUUCUAGUAGUAAUAAUGCCAUAGUAAAUUGUACAUCGUUCAUGUGGUAGUAAUGCCAUACAUAUGUUCUGGGAAUCAGCAGGUUCUCACUGAAAAUAUGGAGCAAAGCAUGAGGAAGGAAGAGAUGUCCAGGGCAGAGCCUGGACUGUUGAAGGUAUAAGUUACAAGCAUUCAAAAUAAUGACUGAUUCGAUUGACUUUUAAAGUAAAGGAAACAUGAGAUCCUCACAAGGAAUAUGUAAACCUAAUUAUCAAAAGGUGAUAGCAAUCAAGAUUAGCAAAUGACAGAAUCAAAGAAAAUAAUAAGAAAGCUACAAAUCUUAUUUUACUGGCAUAAAAGAUAAUACCAAAUCUCUCAAAUGUUCAUUGUAAUUUAAUAUCUUGCAUCUCUUCAUUUAUAAACUGUAAAGCACUUCACAUUAUGUUUCUAGGUUCUUUUCCUCCGUUAGUUUUCUUGCUUACAGGUUUUCAGAGCUAGAGAUGACCUGAGAGAUCAUUUGACUAAAAAAUGAAACAAAACACUCAUUUUAAGAGGAAGAAGCCGAAGUUGGAAAGAUCUCGGUGACUUGCCCUCAGCUGACUCAGGAGAACCAGGGAAGGAACUCAGACCUCCCAAGUCCAAGUCCAGUUUUUGGUUUUGUUUCUGCUUAUCGUGCUCUGAAUCUCAGAGCUUAACUUCACUCCGUUUUCUGCGUUUUAUUGCGUAUCUCUCUUACUUGUGGUAACUAUGGGAACUCUUCUUCAGCUGCCUGACCUUCCUACUUGGAGUCCUGUGCUAGCAGACUGUAAAUGCAACACUUGACAUUUUAUCAUCAAUUUAAAGUAAUUUUCAGUAUCAUCUAAUCAAUAGAGAAGGGUCUUUACAUAAUAUUGUAAGAUUACAGAUGCAAUUAAAUGGUUUUCGAAAGUCCUUACCUGCCUGUUAAUUUCAGCAAACUCUAUAAUUGGCAUAUUUGUUUGUGCCAUACAUCAAAUAAAUCAAAUUCUACUGAUAAAAUUGAUUUUAGA